rnacentral:rRNA from 1 species
UAGGGAAUCUUCCGCAAUGGGCGAAAGCCUGACGGAGCAACGCCGCGUGAGUGAUGAAGGUCUUCGGAUCGUAAAACUCUGUUAUUAGGGAAGAACAAAUGUGUAAGUAACUAUGCACGUCUUGACGGUACCUAAUCAGAAAGCCACGGCUAACUACGUGCCAGCAGCCGCGGUAAUACGUAGGUGGCAAGCGUUAUCCGGAAUUAUUGGGCGUAAAGCGCGCGUAGGCGGUUUUUUAAGUCUGAUGUGAAAGCCCACGGCUCAACCGUGGAGGGUCAUUGGAAACUGGAAAACUUGUGUGCAGAAGAGGAAAGUGGAAUUCCAUGUGUAGCGGUGAAGUGCGCAGAGAUAUGGAGGAACACCAGUGGCGAAGGCGACUUUCUGGUCUGUAACUGACGCUGAUGUGCGAAAGCGUGGGGAUCAAACAGG